rnacentral:rRNA from 1 species
GAUGAACGCUAGCGGUGUGCUUAAUGCAUGCAAGUCGAACGAGAUCUUUUGGAUUCGUCUGAAAGUGAGAGUGGCGGACGGGUGAGUAACGCGUUGGUGACCUGCCCCAGAGAGGGGGACAACCAUUGGAAACGAUGGCUAAUACCCCGGAUGUCAUUGUGUUUAGAAAUCAAUGACUGAAGCUCCGGCGCUCUGGGAGGGGCCUGCGUCCCAUCAGCUAGUUGGUAAGGUAAUGGCUUACCAAGGCAAAGACGGGUAGGGGGCGUGAGAGCGUGACCCCCCACACUGGUACUGAAACACGGACCAGAUACCUACGGGUAGCAGCAGCAAGGAAUAUUGCCCAAUGGACGAAAGUCUGAGGCAGCAACACCGCGUGGAGGACGAAGGCCUUCGGGUUGUAAACUCCUUUUCUGGGGGAAGAGAAU